rnacentral:tRNA from 1 species
UUCAGGAGGUAGUUUA